CCUACGGGAGACAGCAGUGAGGAAUAUUGGUCAAUGGGCGUAAGCCUGAACCAGCCAAGUCGCGUGAAGGAUGACGGUUCUAUGGAUCGUAAACCUCUUUUAUAAGGGAAUAAAGUGUGGGACGUGUCCUUUUUUGUAUGUACCUUAUGAAUAAGGAUCGGCUAACUCCGUGCCAGCAGCCGCGGUAAUACGGAGGAUCCGAGCGUUAUCCGGAUUUAUUGGGUUUAAAGGGUGCGUAGGCGGCUUGUUAAGUCAGCGGUGAAAGUCUGUGGCUCAACCGUAGAAUUGCCGUUGAAACUGGCGGGCUUGAGUAUGUUUGAGGCAGGCGGAAUGCGUGGUGUAGCGGUGAAAUGCUUAGAUAUCACGCAGAACCCCGAUUGCGAAGGCAGCUUGCCAAGCUAUGACUGACGCUGAUGCACGAAAGCGUGGGGAUCAAACAGGAUUAGAUACCCUGGUAGUC
rnacentral:rRNA from 1 species